rnacentral:rRNA from 1 species
AGAGUUUGGAUCCUUGGCUCAGGAUGAACGCUGGCGGCGUGCUUAACACAUGCAAGUCGAACGGUGAACACGGAGCUUGCUCUGUGGGAUCAGUGGCGAACGGGUGAGUAACACGUGAGCAACCUGCCCCUGACUCUGGGAUAAGCGCUGGAAACGGCGUCUAAUACUGGAUACGAGUAGCGGCCGCAUGGUCAGUUACUGGAAAGAUUUUUUGGUUGGGGAUGGGCUCGCGGCCUAUCAGCUUGUUGGUGAGGUAAUGGCUCACCAAGGCGUCGACGGGUAGCCGGCCUGAGAGGGUGACCGGCCACACUGGGACUGAGACACGGCCCAGACUCCUACGGGAGGCAGCAGUGGGGAAUAUUGCACAAUGGGCGGAAGCCUGAUGCAGCAACGCCGCGUGAGGGAUGACGGCCUUCGGGUUGUAAACCUCUUUUAGCAGGGAAGAAGCGAAAGUGACGGUACCUGCAGAAAAAGCGCCGGCUAACUACGUGCCAGCAGCCGCGGUAAUACGUAGGGCGCAAGCGUUAUCCGGAAUUAUUGGGCGUAAAGAGCUCGUAGGCGGUUUGUCGCGUCUGCUGUGAAAUCCCGAGGCUCAACCUCGGGCCUGCAGUGGGUACGGGCAGACUAGAGUGCGGUAGGGGAGAUUGGAAUUCCUGGUGUAGCGGUGGAAUGCGCAGAUAUCAGGAGGAACACCGAUGGCGAAGGCAGAUCUCUGGGCCGUAACUGACGCUGAGGAGCGAAAGGGUGGGGAGCAAACAGGCUUAGAUACCCUGGUAGUCCACCCCGUAAACGUUGGGAACUAGUUGUGGGGUCCAUUCCACGGAUUCCGUGACGCAGCUAACGCAUUAAGUCCCGC